ACGAACACAUUCCUGUUGCGACCGUACUACAGUUCAGACGAGUGUUCCAUACAGUAUUUGGUGCUGUAAAACUCAGAGCUUUCACACGAGAACAAUGUAGCGGUUUGGUUCGAUCCAGAAUGGAAAAACGUGUCGUGAUACAAAAGUAUUCAGUUCUAUUCGCUCUCGAUCGCUGGUGUGCAUAAUCCAUUAGCUACGAUUGUGAUUCAAUUGCCGGAUGUACGUGUGUGGAAUGUAUUUCAAACGACUAUCGAAAAGCUGUACUGAUGUUUCGAAGGAUUUUGAAGGAAGGAAUUGUUAUCUGGAAACCAUAAACUGCCUUCAUAAUGACUACCCUGAUGCGAUCACGAUUGCUGUCCGUACUAAAGGACGUAACGGUAGUUACGCUGAAGAUGAAACCAGGGACCUGUUGGAGGAGAGCUCGUCAGACGUUUCUUAUACGAUCGUGUUCUUCGCACGCUGCUGCUCCCUAUGGUCCUGCAUAUCGACGAGAUGACCUAAAAGAAACCUUGCCUUAUAAACUUGUGCUUAGGGUAAGGACUGCGACUUACCAAACCGUUGUGUCCUUGGAAGAGAAAGGUGGAUAAAAGCGCCCUGCUGCUAUGCCCGUCGAAUAUGAGUCCGUCGCUAUUUGGAUGAACACUGGUUAACAUUGACAGUUCAUCAUAAUGCAACACGUGCAAGUAAUGGGAAGUUAUGAUGGAAAAACUUUCGAUGCAAGGAAAUGAUGAUAUUUUUCCAAGUAAUUACAAGCCAUAGCUAGCCAAGCAUUGUUUUGGAUGUGUGUUUGAAGUGCCUUUGGACUGGAAGCUGGAUUUGAGAAUAUUAUAUAUCGCAUCAUCUUUGAAGACUACGCAGUACUAAAAGACUACGAAGACUACGCAGUACUCGAGCAAAUCAUUCGUGAGUAAGUUAAUUCAAUCGUCCUCUCCUCCGUCUUAUCUACAAUAAUUCGAAUUUAACAUUAUUUGUUAAGUAAUGUUUCAUUGUAAAACAUUGUAAUGUAAGCAGUUUAUCAACAAAAGAUCGAAUUCUCAUUCGAAUUCGACUCAAACUUAAAAUAAUUUACGUGAUAGUAUGAAUGUAUUCCUAUCGUCUGAGUAUUUUCUAAUUACGAAACAGGAUAUCAGGAGCUGUCAGCAAAAAUGUAUAGUGAUUGUAUUGGUUUUGUAUUGUAUUAGCCUGUGACGAGCUUGUAAUAAGCAUGCGGAUUAGUGUUGGGUUGACGGACUUGUCUAUUCGUCAGCUAGUUUAAAAGCUAUUAAUAGCUCAAUAUUCGUAGCUGGUUCGGAAAAACUGGUCUUUGUUGAGUGAAUUGCGAAGGAAAAUUGUUUUGGUAACCCGGCUGUCUGUAUUGUACGGGUCGUUGUUGAAAAGAUAGAUUCCCAUGCAGGUUCAAAUCCCGUGGUUUCGGAAUAUUGUUAUUCGGCUUAUCAUUGAAUGGAGCGGAUCUCACAUCCAUGUUACAAAAUUCCAGACAAUAGAUAAAAGCACUACUUAACGAAUUUGGAUUGUAAUUCUUUAAUAAAAAGCUGAGUGGUUUGUCCAGGCCACGAA